GGGCAUCUACUUCUUUUAGUCAUCCUUGAAACUCCACUAAAACACAUUUGUAUCACAAACUUCCAUGCUUUAUUCCCAUUUAUUUUCGUAAGCAAAAAAAUUAAAAAUUACUAUUACAAGUUUCAAUAGUACAGCCACAAUAGAGCAUAGUACCAACGCAAGUGAGACCUGGAUUUGUAGGAUCAUUGCAAAUAAACUCGUAGCAACAAGUUUUUUGUGCACAACUUCUGCAUGGUGUGCACCGUCUUGAAACGGUUCUUUGAGGCAAAUAGGUCCCUUGGACAAUUGUCUUCCUGUCACGUACUGAGUUGUCAGUUGCGACACUUUCUGUUGCUCCUGUUCAUCAUGCACAUCAUAUAUUUAUGUUAAUUUGAAAUAUAAUGAUAAAGGGCAGUGGCAUCUCUUUUUAUAGCAUGAGAAUCUAAAUAAGAACUCAUAAGUCCAACCAACAGAACUCCAUUUUUUUACUCAUUUUUGUGUGCAAGUAUAUAUAUACACCGUUUUAGCGGAUUGUUCAAGUACACAGCGACUUUUUCUAGAUAUAUUCAUGCUUAAUAAAUAUAAAGUUAACAUUUUUAAGCAAUAAAUGGUAAGUGAUUACCAAACUUUAUGAACAUUGAGCAACAUGUAAAUAACCAUGGGUGUACAAUGUUUGAACUUUGUCAGCCUGUAUAAUAAUAGGUUUUGCUUGGCCUUUUACGCUAUUAUUAUUACUAAUCUACCAUAAAAGAUGUUAAAACUCGAGAUUUUUGUACCAGUACCGGAUAUGUAGAUGAGGGUACCUAGUACUUGCAUAAAGCAUAUUUGAACCAAAUAUUCCACGCCUUAUGUCUAUAUUGGCGUAGGAUUGAUAUACGAAUUUGGUAAAAGUCUACUUCUUUUUGUAGAUCUAUCACUCCACCAAUACGAUGUCUAUACAUACCUUGGGCUUGGAAGUGGACACUGAGAAUAGAAAGGAUGACAAGGGUGACAAACAUAUGUGAGUAUGUCGCCAUGGGUAUCUAAUAAGAGAGAUCACUUCGGGGUUUGUUUUGUGCUCUGAAUGGGUAGAAACAUUGGACGGGUGAGGAAAAUAUAUAGGCGGGUGUAGAUGCAUAUCAAGGCAUGCAUUUAUGAUAUUAUUAAUUUAAUUAAUUUGUUGGCAUUAAAUCCCUUCUUGAGAUAUUGCGUUCCUUCCUACUCGGUGCAGGAUAUUGCAUUUUGGAGCAAGUAUUCAUUGCCCACAUUUAUAUUCUCUGAUCUUUCUCUGAUACUAAGAUAAACGUAACCAGAAAAUUUUGGGAGCUAUACAUUUAAUCUCGACAAUGCAGUGGUUGGAUGGUUAGGUCGACAGUGGUAUCUAGGGUUGAAGUCCUGGUGCUCGCAUUCAUUCCUGGAUUUAUUUCAGGAUUUUCGGCGAUGCGUGUUUAGUGGAAGGAGACGUUCCCGUCGACUACAAGGCCCCUUUGUGACUUCGUCAAUCUCAGAAUGAUAUACCGGUUUAGUCUCUCGGAGGUGCUCAUAGAUAUAAGGUGCGCGUAUCUAUUCAUAGGGAUGAGUGUAUACGUGUAUAUAUGAGCAUUUGCGUUUGUAUUGUGUUAAAAACAAUGCACUCUAAGAGGCUCUACCAUUUUGUUUUAUUUUUAUGGUAGACUGUAGCAUUUAGACUGGUAGGCAAGUUACCUGUCAUAUAUUUUAUGCACUAAGGCCUUGAGAUCUAUGGGCUGACUAUUUAAUUAUUAAUGCAAAUCAUAAGAAAAGGUAUGGAGCAUGCUGGGAACCCUCAGGGGCAUGAUAUGGUUAGAAUGACUAGUGGACCCGUUGUGUCAAAUGGCGCAGAUGCGCGCUAGUACGUGAUGAAAAAUAUAUUCAUGAUUUAAUCCCCUUUAAUAGGAAACACGGCGGAUUGUUAUCUAUAAUGAGAUGUAUAAUUUGUACUUGCUACCAUGUUUGUAGAGGCCCAUUUGAAAUCAUGUUCACAUUGAUCUCUACUCGUAAAGGAGGAGUUUGUGGUUGUGAUGGUAGGUCUCGUAUGUCUUCGUUUGUUCANNNNNNNNNNNNNNNNNNNNNNNNNNNNNNNNNNNNNNNNNNNNNNNNNNNNNNNNNNNNNNNNNNNNNNNNNNNNNNNNNNNNNNNNNNNNNNNNNNNNNNNNNNNNNNNNNNNNNNNNNNNNNNNNNNNNNNNNNNNNNNNNNNNNNNNNNNNNNNNNNNNNNNNNNNNNNNNNNNNNNNNNAUUUUUUCUUCUCAGAAACGAAAAGUCCUUCUCCUUUAACCCUAUCUCAGCAGAGACAAUGAUCCCCACCGCGGGAGCUAUUUCUCGCAUUCAGCGAGCCUAAACACUUCUCUGGCUGAAUCAUUCCGACUAAUCGAGCUGGCCUACUAGCGCACAGUAAAUAAAAAAAACUAUGAAUUGAAGCAUUCCAACUAAUCGGGUCGGACCACUAGCGCACAGUACACAUAAAAACUUUGAAGAAAAUGGAUUCGAACCGUGCUUGCUUCGAUCAAGAGUAGAGGCCACUCUGAACUUAGUGUUCACAUACGAGGUGCACUCUACUUGAGGUAAAACACCGGAGUUUGUUUUUAUUUCUCUAGUUUUCCUCUCUUUUUUUGUUUCUUUGUUUGGUUUUCUUAUUUUUCUCCGGUUUUCUUUCAUUAGCCAUUAUAAUUCGGUCCUUUUUUUUGUUUUUUCCAUUGAUUUUCUGUUUUCAAUGCUUUUCUCCGUUUUCUUUUCUUUUUCCCUUUUUUUCUCUGGUUUUUGUUUUGUUUUCAUUUUUUAUUCUUUCUACAUUUGUUUAUUCAGUUCUUUUUAAUUUGUGGGGGUUUAGUUUGUUUGUUUUUUGUUUUUGGUUUUUGGUUUUCUUUCGUUUCUUUUGUUUUUUNNNNNNNNNNNNNNNNNNNNNNNNNNNNNNNNNNNNNNNNNNNNNNNNNNNNNNNNNNNNNNNNNNNNNNNNNNNNNNNNNNNNNUUGUUUAUUCAGUUUUUUUUUAAUUUGUGGGGGUUUAGUUUGUUUGUUUUUUGUUUUUGGUUUUUGGUUUUCUUUCGUUUCUUUUGUUUUUUAUUCUACAUUUUUUGUAUGUCAAAAACAUUUUUUAAUAAGUGAUCAACAUUUUUGUUAUACACGUUCAACAUAAACGUUUAUUCAACAUUUUUCAAAUACUAGUUCAACAUUUUAAUACUUAUUCAACACUUUUUAAUACUCGUUCAACAUUUUUUAAUACUUAUUCAAUAUUUUUUAAUACUUAUUCAACAUUUUUCAAAUACUGGUUUAACAUUUUUCAAAUACUCGUUCAAAACAAUUUAUACUUGUUCAACAUUUUUCAAUACUUUUUCAAUAUUCUCAAAUACUUGUUCAUCAUUUUUCAAAUUCUUGUUUAACAUUUUCUUAUAUUUAUUCAACAUUUUCAAAUGCAGGUUUAACAUUUUUCAUAUACUCAUUCAAAAAAAUUAAUACUUGUUCAACAUUUUCUAAUACUCGUUCAACAUUUUUCAAAUUCUUGUUCAACAUUUUCUAAUACUUAUUCAACAUUUUUCAAAUACUUGUUCCACAUUUUAUAAAAAAAAUCAACAUUUUUCAAAUACUUGUUCAACAUUUCUUAAAUACAUGAUCAGCCUUUUUCAUACACAUUUGUAUUUUUCUGUAUAACUUUUGUGCAUAGAUUAAAACGAUUUUCAUGUAUGCACUCAAAAUUUAUUAUCAAAUGCUUAGUUAACAUUUUUUAAAUGUUUUUUACUUUAAUUGACAGUUAGUUCAUCAUUUCUCAGUCUGUUGAUACAUCACGUCCUAGGUCGAUGGUGCGAUGGCUAGCAUCAGGCGCUCCUCGCGAAGCGAGCAGGGUUCGAAUCUAGUUCCUGUUUUCUCUUAGGCCAACUCCAGCGCGCGACCCCAUCUUGUUCGGGUGCGUCUGUUCGGGGUAGAACGGAUGAAUAGCGCGGCCCCAAACGGUCAAAUGUCUGGAUUUCGUUCGUUUUCGACCCAUUCCCGACCCAAACUUGCGCCGAGUUUGGGGUGAAACGGACAUCACGCGGACGGGCUCGACGCACGCCCUUGACCCCCGUAGCCCGCCUGUUAGGGACACUAGCAGUCUCUUCGCUUCCAACGCCUCCACCAGCUCCCCCCCACCCUGCCGCCGGCGCCGCCACUAUUCUUCAGCCGCCUCCUCACUGCUCACCCCCCCACCGUCCAUACCAAACCACGUCUCGACAUGACCGCCAUCAAACCAGUACAACAAGGGAUACUACCUAGCUGAUGGUAUAUAUCCUCAGUGGUCAACUUUUGUGAAGACAAUCUCAAACCCCCAAGGUGAGAAGAGAAAGAGAUUUGCCUAAAUGCAAGAGAGUGCUAGAAAGGAUGUGGAACGUGAUUUUGGUGUGCUUCAAUCCCGAUGGGGUAUCGUUCGAAACACUGCACUGACAUGGGAUGAAGGGAAGCUUUGGGAGGUGAUGACUGCUUGUGUGAUCAUGCACACCAUGAUCGUCGAGGACGAGCAUGAUGACAGGAUCUUCGACCAAGUAUUUGAUUUUCAAGAUGAAAAUGUUGAGCCCCUGCACCAAGAACCGGCCACAUUUGAACAGUUUGUCCAUUUUCAUCUUGAAAUGCGUGAUUAGCACACUCAUUUGGAUCUUCAAAAUGACUUGGUUGAGCACGUGUGGACUCACGUUGGCAACGAAUAGAUGUAUUGAUUCAUUAUGUUCAUUCAAGACAAUUUUGAUUUGGUUGUAAAACUAUUUUAUUAGAGACAAUUUCGAUUGGGUUGUAAAACUAUUUUUAUUUUCAGACAAUUAAUAUUUGGACAUGCAAACUUGUUUUGAACAUUGAAAUAUGAAUAUAUGGGCAUUUUUGGCUGUGGCGGAGAAGAUGGGGCCGAAGGAUGCGUCCGAGCGCUGGGCGCACGGCCACCGCAUCCCAGGACAGACCCGAGCACGACCCCAUUGCCCUACCCAAACGGACAGAAUCCGGGCAAAAUGGAUGUCCGUUUGGGUCGUGCGCUGGAGUUGGCCUUAUACAACUCAUUGCUUUUAAUUUCCUAUUGAUAAUUUAGAUGGUUCAUAUUUUUAAAACCAAAAAUUAAAUUUUGAAACUUUUUAUAUAUUUGGACUCAUGAUUUCAAGAUCUUUAGAACAAGCUUAAUUUUGGAUAUUUUUUAACAUGUUCGAAUCCAUUUAUUUCACACAAUAUGUUUCAAUUAUUUCAGAAGAACUAUUUAUUUCAAUUAUUUUGAACCACUAAUUUCCAUUGAUUUUCUGAAAUACAAUUUCAAUCAUUUCACUCGUUGUAAAACGCCUAUUUCACACAUUAGAAAACAUAUAUUUUCAGUUGUUCCAAAAGAAUUGGCUCCCUAACUUCUGAAAACCGAUUUCACUCAUUUCGAAAAGUUCAUUUCUUUAUGUUCAGAAAAUCAAUUUCACUCAUUAGAAGAAACUGAUGUCACUAAUUUGAAAAGAAAUAAUUUCACCCAAUUGAGAUAAUAGAUUUCACUCAGUUUAAAAGAAUGAUCUCGCUCAUUUCAGAAAAAUAUUUCGCUCAUUCCAAAAAGUAUGUUUCACUAUGUUCAAAAAACCAGAUUCCGCUCAUUUCAAAAGAUGGAUUUCUCCUUAUUCAAAAAACUUAUUUCACUCGUUUCAAACAAUAUAUUUAAAUCAUUUCAACACAGUUGAUUUCACUAAAUUGGAAAACAUAUUUCACUCAGUUUAAUAGAAUGCACUAAAUUGAAAAAACAUAUUUCACUCAGUUUGACAUAAUGAUUUUAUCAUUUCAAAAAAUGAUUCCACUCAUCAAAAAAUGAUUUCACUCAUUUUAACAAACAUGUUUAACCUAGUCAAAACACUGGUUUCACUCAUUCCAAAAAAUAUAUUUAAAUCGUUUCAAAACGGUUGAUUGCACUAAAUUAAAAAAAAACAUUUCACUCAGCUUAAUGAGAACGAUUUCACUCAUUUCAAAAAUUGAUUUUAAUCAUUUUAACAAACAUGUUUCACUCAUUCAAAACACUGGUUUCACUCAUUCCAAAAUAUAUAUUUAAAUCAUUUCAAUACGGUUGAUUCACUAAAUUGGAAAAAAAUAUUUCACUUAGCCUAAUAGAAUGAUUUCUAUUAUUUAAAAAAAGAUUUCACUCAUUUCAAAAAGUGAUUUCACUCAUUUUAACAAACAUGUUUCACUCAUUCAAAACACUGGUUUUACUCAUUCCAAAAAGUAUGUUUCAUUGUGUUCAAAAAACAGAUUCCGCUCAUUCGAAAAACUUAUUUCACUCGUUUCAAAAGUUGGAUAUAACUUAUUUAAAAAUGGUAGAUUUCAGUAAUUCGAAAAAAUGAUUUCACUCAAUUUAACAGACAUCACUAAUGGAAUUAGAAGAUUUGUCGUCUGUCCCCUCUUUGCCGUCACCUAGCGGACGACAAAGAACGGCUUUGCCAUCAGCCACCGGAAAGCAGACGGCCAAGGAAGGCUUUGCCAUCAGCCAACAUUUUGCCGUCCGCUAGCUAACAGCAAAGAUUCUUUGUCGUCCGGUAGCUGACGGCAAAGAGGGUGUUUGGCCCACUGGAUGUUAAGCCCUAACAGGCCCCCUCUUUGUCGUCCGCCAGCAGAUGGCAAAGCGUCCGUUGCCCUCAGCUUGCAGACGGCAAAGACGACAUGGAUCCGGUGUGCCAGGUGUCUUCCAGUUAUUCGCCUUAGUUGCCAUGUCAUUUUCUUGUGUGUUGCAUUUUGCCAUGUCAUCAUCUGCAUUUCAUCUGCAUGUUUUCCAAAACUUGCAUCUGUUCAGGUUCCCCUGGUUCUCUCCGUUGUCCGUUCGGAGUACAUACCUCUCGCGCACGCUCGUCGCCUCUCUCAGACCUUGUUUCAUGAGCGGGGGGGGGGGAUGUUCUCGGAAUGGGAUGAAACUUGGCGUGCGGUGUUGUUUUAGAGUAGGUAGACCGCCUGCCAAUUUUCAUUCCAUUUGGAGGUCGUUUGAUGCCCCAACGGUUAACCGCGUAGCUCGAAAUCCCCUUCUCUUUGCAGCCUAGCCCCUCUUCACCACAGCCCAUGAGCCCAUCCAAACCCCCUCCAUGCUCUCGGUCGUUCGAUCACGAUCGUGUGGGCGAAAACCGCACUCCAUUUGGACACUCCUAGCUCCCUCUACCGAUAAAAACACAUCCUCUCCUGAAUUUUGCGAAUGAAUCAUACCCUAACCCUAGCCUCUUCCUCCUCUCGCCGCCGGAUGUGUCCACCCCGCGGCGGACGUGUCCGCCCGCCGCCGCCGCCUCCUCCUCUCAGCGCCUCCGCCCGCUACCCUCGACUAGCCGCCGCCCGAAGCUCCCCGCCGCCUCCUCGCUCGUCGGGCUCCGACGUCGCCCGCGCACCGUCCCUUGCCGGCUUGCUCUGCCUCGCGCCGGUCCCCUCCGGCCCAGAUCCUGCGGGAUCCGGCCGGAUCUCGCACCACCCGGCCACCUCGACCUCCCCGACGGCCUCCUCCGCCCGCGUCUCCGGCCGCCAUCGUCAACUCCGGCGAGGUCCGUGGAUCGGGAUCAGAUCCACCACCUCAACGAUCCAAACGCCUCCCCCACGCCCUGGAGCCCUCCGUCCCGCUCGUCCUCGUCUCGGGUUGACUUUUUGCGAGGGUAAAUUUCCACUAUCAUUUUUCUGUGAUAUUUUUAUGCCCUGUUUGUCAUCCCAUAACUUCAUGUGUGCUACACUGUUUCAUGCAUAUGUUAUAUCAAAAUGUUCAUUGGGAGAUACUCUUUAUUUCAUUCCAUUGUCCCAUGCUUGUUUGAGUUCAUCUUAAUGCCCUUAUCAUCGUUGCAAGAGUGGUAUAUGAUGUUAACUGUUGUCUGUUACCAGAACUUGUUGUUUUGUCUUUUUCAUUGCAUUUUGUGUGUGCAUCCUAUGAGCUUGAUGUCUACAUGAGUUUUGAGCUACAUCAUGUCAUAUUUACAGUGGUGCAAUCCAUGUAUUUUUGUGAGUCUUGUAGUGAGUGCAUCGAGCUUGUGAAGUAGGGUACUUGCUGUUACUGUUUUGCUAGGCUGAAUCUGCUAUAUCAUGAUGCUAUGUAGACUUGUUGCUACAAGUCAUUCUAUGCAUAACCUGGAGAUGUUCACUAAGGAUGUUUUGAUUUACAUGUCAUGCUCUAUCCAACCAUGACCCUUGUCGCAUUUAUAGCCUGCUGUAGCUUGUUGUAAUCUUGCUCCAAACUUGCUAAACAAUGUUGCUGUCAGCUUGUUAACAUUAUGUUCAGUUUUGUCCAUGUGUUUUGCUAGUGAUCCAUGCACCCUAUGAACUUGCUCUUACCAUUCUUCGCUUUAUAAAUAUGUCUUAUUACUGUUGGUCACCUUGUCAUGACAUGUGUUGCUCUGUGGUGAGUUGUACAAGCUCACCAACAUGCCUACUUAUUAUUGUUCCUGCCAUGUACUGCUAUCCUGAAUCUGUCAUAUCAUUUACCAUGUUUGUAUGGAUGCUACCAUCUUUUCUGUUGAUAUUUGGAAUUAGUUAAGUAAGGGAGGUUUGUUCUUUGUCUUUAUUAUUAGCAUUCAAUGCCUUUGUUUGCCAUGUUUAGUUUCUGUAACAUGUUGUUUGAUAGCUCUAAAAAUUGCAACCUGAUGUUAUUUCUGCCAUGUCCAGUGAUUUCUGCUAAGUUUGUAAAUUGUUAUUAUUUGCAAUCUUGCCAUGACCUUUUGAGCAUGUUCUAGUGAUUUUUGGAGAUAUCUCAGUGUUCAUGUUUUGUCAUGCUUUACAUGUACAUAAUGCCCAUGCCUUUUGUUCUUAUGUUGAGCUGCUGUAGCAUAUUUGUUUGAUGCUUGCUAGAUGCCUAUUUGUUGUUUUGGACAGCUUGUCCUUUAAACUUGUUUCAUGUGUAUGUGUUAAACCGUUGCUCCGUUUUGAGUGUGCUCUAUAUGAAACUUGCUUAGAAUUUCAUGUAGUUUCAUAUUAUCAUGUUGCAUCCUUGUUUUGAGGUGUUUGCUUGAUGUUUGGAUGUAUUUUGCAUCAAUGUCAUGUUUAACUUGUUUUGCUCAUAUCUUCUAGGCCGUAGCUCCGAACUAAAUGAACUUUAUAUGUAACUUGACUAGAAUUUCGUGUAGAUCAUCUUGGUGCAUCUUAACUUGCUGUUUAACAACUAGAACAUAAGGUUUAUUCAGAUCUGGACCAAUUCCUAAAUUUGCAUAUGAGGACUUGCCGGAUUUGUUAUAUGUUGUUUCCGGCCUCAUUUAAACUUGCUUUGAUGUGUUGCUAUUGUAUGCAUCAUCUCUUGCCAUGAGUAGCCUCAUAUAGCCUUUGUCAUGCAUAAUGUUUGGUUGUGCAUCAUGCCAUGUCUAUGUGUUGUGUGUUUACCUUGUUGUUUGCUUCUUUCCGGUUGUGCUCCUUCUCGUUAGUUCCUGUUUCGUUGCGAUCGUGAGGAUUCGUUCGUCUACACUUGGUUCGUCUUUGUGGCUUCAUCUUCUUCAUGGACUCGUUCUUCUUCCUAGCGGGAUUUCAGGCAAGAUGACCGUCACCUUGGAUCUCACCACUAUCAUUGCUAUGCUAGUUGCUUCGUUCUAUCGCUAUGCUGCGCUACCUAUCAUUUGCUCUUCAAGCCUCUCAAAUUGCCAUGUCAGCCUCUAACAUUUUCACCCUUCCUAGCAAACCGUUGCUUGUCUAUGUUACCGCUUUGCUCAGCCCCUCUUAUAGCAUUGUUAGUUGCAGGUGAAGUUGAAGAUUGCUCCAUGAUGGACAUGAUUAUGUUGGGAUAUCACAAUAUCUCUUAUUUAAUUAAUGCAUCUAUAUACUUGGUAAACGGUGGAAGACUCGGCCUGAUGCCUGGUGUUUUGUUCCACUCUUGCCGCCCUAGUUUCCGUCAUACCGGUGUUAUGUUCCUUGAUUUUGCAUUCCUUACGCGGUUGGGUGAUUUAUGGGACCCCCUUGACAGUUCGCUUUGAAUAAAACUCCUCCAGCAAGGCCCAACCUUGGUUUUACCAUUUGCCUACCUAAGCCUUUUUCCCUUGGGUUCUGCAGACUCAAGGGUCAUCUNNNNNNNNNNNNNNNNNNNNNNNNNNNNNNNNNNNNNNNNNNNNNNNNNNNNNNNNNNNNNNNNNNNNNNNNNNNNNNNNNNNNNNNNNNNNNNNNNNNNNNNNNNNNNNNNNNNNNNNNNNNNNNNNNNNNNNNNNNNNNNNNNNNNNNNNNNNNNNNNNNNNNNNNNNNNNNNNNNNNNNNNNNNNNNNNNNNNNNNNNNNNNNNNNNNNNNNNNNNNNNNNNNNNNNNNNNNNNNNNNNNNNNNNNCAGCGCCACCUUGGGGAAACUUGAGGGCUGGUUUUAGUUGUACAUAGUGUUCAUCCGGUGUGCCCUGAGAACGAGAUAUGUUCAGCUCCUAUCGGGAUUUGUCAGCACAUCGGGCGGCUUUGCUGGUCUUGUUUUACUAUUGUCGAAAUGUCUUGUAAACCGGGAUUCCGAGACUGAUCUGGUCUUCCUGGGAGAAGGAAUAUCCUUCGUUGACCGUGAGAGCUUGUGAUGGUCUAAGUUGGGACACCCCUGUAGGGUACAAACUUUCGAGAGCCAUGCCCGCGGUUAUGUGGCAGAUGGGAAUUUGUUAAUAUCCGGUUGUAGAUAACUUGACACCAGAUAUGAAUUAAAACGCAUCAACCGCGUGUGUAGUCGUGAUGGUCUCUUUUCAGCGGAGUCCGGCAAGUGAACACGGUUUUGGGUUAUGUUUGGCGUAAGUAGGAGUUCAGGAUCACUUCUUGAUCAUUGCUAGCUUCACGACCAUUUCGUUUGCCUCUCUUCUCGCUCUUAUUUGCGUAUGUUAGCCACCAUAUUUGCUUAGUUGAUGCUGCAACCUCACCACUUAUCCUUUCCAUUCCCAUUAAGCUUUGCUAGUCUUGACUUAUUUGCGUAUGUUAGCCACCAUAUUUGCUUAGUCGCUGCUGCAACCUCACCACUUAUCCUUUCCAUUCCCAUUAAGCUUUGCUAGUCUUGAUACCCAUGGUAAUGGGAUUGCUGAGUCCUCGUGGCUCACGGAUUACUACAACAACAGUUGUAGGUGCAGGUUAUGCGAUGAUCAUGACGCGAGAGCAACGUUUAGUUGUUUGGAGUUCUUCUUCUGCUUCUUUGAUCAGGGGAUAGGUUCCAGGUCGGCAGCCUGGGCUUGCAGGGUGGAUGUCAUUUGAGUUUCUGUUUGUGUUUCAUCCGUAGUCGGAUGUUGAUCUUACGUAUGAUGUAUUGAUGUAUUCUUGCGGCAUUUGUAUGCCUUGUAUGUAUCCCCAUCUUUUAUGUAAUGUUGAUGUAAUGAUAUCCACCUUGCAAAAGCGUCUCAAUCUGCGGUUCUAUCCUUGGUGGGACCUUCGAGUUUCUUUAGGAUAGUAUCGCAUAUUGGGCGUGACAGAAGGGGGAAUGAGCGAGACAGAUGCUAGGGUUUUGGUGGAUGCCUUUGUAGGCCGAGGGGGGCACGUGGAGGCCAUCCACGUCCAUGGUGCCAUGGAUGCACGCCACGCCCAGGCCUCUGCCUCCCCACUGUACAGAGGUGGGGGAGAGGCUGUCGUGGGCUGGGCUUUGGGGCACUGUGGACACUUGAGCCCAUAUGCACAAUAGUUCAGGUCCUUUUCCUUUUAUUCUUUUACAUUUUUGUUUUAUUUAUUUCUUUUCUACUUUGCAUUUUAUUUUAAAACCAAUUGACUUUUGUUGAAUUUGAAAAUUGGCACAUAAAUAUGAGACAACAUUUUGAGCCAUCACAAAUAGUUUCAAUUUAUCUUGAAAUGUUUAACUAUUUGUUUAAAUCAAAAAAGCUCAAUUUAAUAGUGUUAGUUCUGUUUUAAAUGAAGAUAAGGGAGUUUUAAUAAGAAGAAGAAAUAUUGGUUUCUUCAUGAAAAUUAGUUAGUGAAUAAUUGCAACCCAACGAACAUUUUAAAUUUCCUUUUUGAAGAAUUACAAAUUUGACUUGUAUUUAAAUUUGAAUUUGACUUAGGUUUUAACAAGGAGAGAUUAAGCUUAGCAAAAUGGGAUGGUGUGGCAUCAUUAGUCAGGUAUUCAUUGUAGCAUAAUUAUCGGGGUGUUACACCUGCAUUCAGCGGGCCAUAAUUGGGCCGGCCCGCAACAAGCUGUACUAGGGCCUACUGCGGAGCUGCUGUAUGGGCCCUUCAUAGACACUGUAUGACUAGGCUCAUAACUCUAAUGGGCCUUUAGCAUGCCCAAAUUUAGUUCAGCCGAUGUAGCUUUGGAUCAUUAACAAGCUGAAUAUUCUGCUGGCAUGUGUUGGCCCAAAAGACACCAUGGGCCUUUAGCAGGCCGAGAAGCAUGUUGGGCCUCAAUUUUUAAGAGUAGUCCAUGGGCCUUUAGUAGGCUGAAAUAAACAUCGAGCCAAUAUAGGCCUAGUUACAUUACGGGUCAUUAUCAGGCCGAAACAUACCUCGGGCCUUGGUUUUCCCAAUCAUCUCAUAGGCCUUUAGUAGGCCAAAAGCUCUGUAGAGGCACCAACGGGCCGAAAUGUAAGACACGCCUUUAAUAGUCCCAAAGUCAGGUUGGGCUGAAGUGUUGCCACCGAGAUCACGGGUCAUUAACCGGCCAAAUGUCACGUCAGACCAUAAAUGGUCCAUGUGCAACACAGGCCAUUACCAGGCCAAAAGACACACCAUGCUGAAAUGGGCCAUUUCUACAUAGGGACUCUAACAGGCCGAAAACACAUUGGGCCAUAAUGGGGUCCAAAGACUAAGCGAACAAUUAAUGGGCCGGAUUUGGCGGUGGGCCAUAAAUGGGUCAACCCACUAGUACCUGAGCGAAGCUUAUGGGCCUUUGACUGGGCCAGCCUUUUUAACCUAAAUGGGCCAAUGUUGGGUCGUGCCACAUAUCAUUUUUUCAUAGGCCCAUCUCGUCCAAGGAUGAAUGACAUCCAUCGUGACGUCGAACUUAUACGUGGUUCCUUUGGCCAAUGAGAAUUUUACACGUGAAAAAUUGCCCUUGGCCUGGGCUGUUAGCGGGUUAUCGGAUCCAAAACCAGACCCGAGAGUUUAACGGUGACCCAUUACAGUGGAUGCCACGUGUCGGUUACCCUUGGCAAAAGCACUUUGAUGACGCACCAUUUAUCGUCAUGGAAGUGGACACUUCCGUGAUGAUAAUUUGAGUAUUGUCAUGGAACACUUCUACGACAACACAUGUAUAACUAUCUUGAUUCCGUCAUAAAAUCGUCACGAAUGUACAUGCAUGACAGAAAACAUGACCUACUAUGACAAACACGUAUCAUCACAGAAGUGUUUUUUUGUAGUGGUGUGUGCUGGCACUGCUCCUCAACAGAAAGCAAGAGAAGGUAUUGUUUUCAAGAUGGCCUAAGGUAUGAGCGCAGUCAGUCGUACCAACCUUGACUUCGGUGACAGGUUUGAAAAAUAAGAGCUUGUGGCGACCAGUGGCACAAGCAGUGAUACGCCUGCACGCGGCCGUACCAAAGGUCAUCGAUCGAUAUUUUUUCUUGAUUCUUUCUGGAUUUUGUUUUGAUUUUCUUCUAACUUCGUCUCUAAGAUUGAUCCUCUAACCAUUAUUUAAGGCCAAGGGUUACUUCCCUUCACUCAAUAUCAAUCUAAUCUCGAGUCCUUUUUGCAUGACACCUCUUCACCAAACCUUGUUCUACAAGAUAAACAAACCGGUCACCGCCAUGAGAAAUGGAUCUUCCCCAACUUCCAUCAAGAUCAUCUCCUUCCCAAGCUUGGAGGAGGUCGUCCUGAUGGGAUGGGAGGAUCCUAGAAAAAUGAGCCUAAAGGAGGAGAUGCCGGAGGAGGUGGAGACUAGCAAGGGGAAGAUCAUCGAGGAAGAGAAGGAAAAGAAGAAGAAGAAGUUUAACAUCCGAGGAUCUAUUCAUCUAUCUCCUCUUGGGCCGGAACCACGUGAGUGGGGAAAGGAACAGCCGUCCCCUGACGCGAUAAGCAGAAAGAUCAAGCAGCUCGAGAAAGUCUCUAAGGCAUGACUUGACACUAUUGGUGAGGGGAUCGAUUCUUAUUGGAUGAUUAGCAAAGACAUGAAAGGUAGGGUCGACGGUCUCUUCCAUACCAUAGAGGGUUGGGUGGUGGAGAUAUUUGGGAUCAACCAAACUCGUAAUUUCAUAACACUCUAAAUGUGGUCGUGCUCAACUUUCAAGUGAUGUAGACUGUUAGAUCCACAUAGUUUGACAACUAAGAUAGCUUGGAAUUGACCAAUUUUUGCUUUUGUGUAAUUUAUAUAAAAAUAGUAUUUGUAUCAUCAAACUUGCAAGUUUAAUCAUCAGUGGAACUUAACGUAAUAAGGUAAGGGCAUCUACUUCUUUUAGUCAUCCUUGAAACUCCACUAAAACACAUUUGUAUCACAAACUUCCAUGCUUUAUUCCCAUUUAUUUUCGUAAGCAAAAAAAUUAAAAAUUACUAUUACAAGUUUCAAUAGUACAGCCACAAUAGAGCAUAGUACCAACGCAAGUGAGACCUGGAUUUGUAGGAUCAUUGCAAAUAAACUCGUAGCAACAAGUUUUUUGUGCACAACUUCUGCAUGGUGUGCACCGUCUUGAAACGGUUCUUUGAGGCAAAUAGGUCCCUUGGACAAUUGUCUUCCUGUCACGUACUGAGUUGUCAGUUGCGACACUUUCUGUUGCUCCUGUUCAUCAUGCACAUCAUAUAUUUAUGUUAAUUUGAAAUAUAAUGAUAAAGGGCAGUGGCAUCUCUUUUUAUAGCAUGAGAAUCUAAAUAAGAACUCAUAAGUCCAACCAACAGAACUCCAUUUUUUUACUCAUUUUUGUGUGCAAGUAUAUAUAUACACCGUUUUAGCGGAUUGUUUAAGUACACAGCGACUUUUUCUAGAUAUAUUCAUGCUUAAUAAAUAUAAAGUUAACAUUUCUUAAGCAAUAAAUGGUAAGUGAUUACCAAACUUUAUGAACAUUGAGCAACAUGUAAAUAACCAUGGGUGUACAAUGUUUGAACUUUGUCAGCCUGUAUAAUAAUAGGUUUUGCUUGGCCUUUUAGGCUAUUAUUAUUACUAAUCUACCAUAAAAGAUGUUAAAACUCGAGAUUUUUGUACCAGUAGCGGAUAUGUAGAUGAGGGUACCUUGUACUUGCAUAAGGCAUAUUUGAACCAAAUAUUCCACGCCUUAUGUCUAUAUUGGCGUAGGAUUGAUAUACGAAUUUGGUAAAAGUCCACUUCUUUUUGUAGACCUAUCACUCCACCAAUACGAUGUCUAUACAUACCUUGGGCUUGGAAGUGGACACUGAGAAUAGAAAGGAUGACAAGGGUGACAAACAUAUGUGAGUAUGUCGCCAUGGGUAUCUAAUAAGAGAGAUCACUUCGGGGUUUGUUUUGUGCUCUGAAUGGGUAGAAACAUUGGACGGGUGAGGAAAAUAUAUAGGCGGG
rnacentral:lncRNA from 1 species